UAAAUUUUCAACGAUGGAUAUCUUGGUUCCCAUAUCGAGGAAGAACGCAGCUAACUGCGAUAAGCAAUGCGAAUUGCAGAAUCCGCGAGUCAUCAGAUUUUCGAACGCAGCCGGCGC
rnacentral:rRNA from 1 species